AGGGUUUGAUCAUGGCUCAGAACGUACGCUGGCGGCACGCCUAACACAUGCAAGUCGAACGCAGUAGCAAUACUGAGUGGCAAACGGGUGAGUAUAAUGUGGGAAUCUGCCUUUUGGUUUGGAAUAACACGGGGAAACUUGUGCUAAUACCGAAUAAGCCCUUGCGGGGAAAGUUUUAACGCCGAAAGAUGAGCCUGCACUUGAUUAGCUAGUUGGUAAGGUAAAAGCUUACCAAGGCAACGAUCAAUAGCUGUUCUUAGAGGAAGACCAGCCACAUUGGGACUGAGACACGGCCCAGACUCCUACGGGAGGCAGCAGUGGGGAAUCUUGCACAAUGGGGGAAACCCUGAUGCAGCGAUGCCGCGUGAGUGAAGAAGGCCCUUGGGUUGUAAAACUCUUUCGUCGGGGAAGAAAAUGACUGUACCCGAAUAAGAAGGUCCGGCUAACUUCGUGCCAGCCGCCGCGGUAAUA
rnacentral:rRNA from 1 species